GAGCCUUGGCUCAGUGGAAGCGCAUUUGCUUUGCGCGCAGACGGUGCCCGGUUCAAUCCGCGGCGUCUCGAGGUAGCA